rnacentral:rRNA from 1 species
AUUGAACGCUGGCGGAAUGCUUUACACAUGCAAGUCGAACGGCAGCACGGGAGCAAUCCUGGUGGCGAGUGGCGAACGGGUGAGUAAUAUAUCGGAACGUGCCCAGUCGUGGGGGAUAACGCAGCGAAAGCUGUGCUAAUACCGCAUACGAUCUAAGGAUGAAAGCGGGGGAUCGCAAGACCUCGCGCGAUUGGAGCGGCCGAUAUCAGAUUAGCUAGUUGGUGGGGUAAAGGCCCACCAAGGCGACGAUCUGUAGCUGGUCUGAGAGGACGACCAGCCACACUGGACCUGAGACACGGUCCAGACUCCUACGGGAGGCAGCAGUGGGGAAUUUUGGACAAUGGGCGCAAGCCUGAUCCAGCAAGGCCGCGUGCAGGAUGAAGGCCUUCGGGUCGUAAACUGCUUUUGUACGGAACGAAACGGCCCUUUCUAAUACAGGGGGCUAAUGACGGUACCGUAAGAAUAAGCACCGGCUAACUACGUGCCAGCAGCAGCCGCCG